rnacentral:lncRNA from 1 species
CGACUGGGGGUUACCGCUAACCCACGCCUAUAACUCGUCGUAAUCUUGGAACUCCUGGAAGUCUCCUUCCACGACUUCAUCUUCUCCUGAGCAGUGGUUGCAAUGCUGACAACCUGGGGAUGGGGGGUUUGGUGUGUAGAGCAAGGGUGAGUACACAUCAACAUACUCAGCAAGUAUCCUGUUUGGCUGUAGUGGACUAGCUUUAUGUGGGGGUAAGUCAAGCAGUUGCUUUUAGUUGGUCAGAUUAUUAUUACUAGUAGAGAAAGCCAAGUUUUAGAUUUAACCCACGUUAUUAACCCAAACGUACUCCUUUCCAAACGGAAAGAGUACCACUUACCAUUACCAGAGUCAAUACCAAGAACCAUCAACCUCAUUGCCACCUGAAAUCCGAACAUCUCUGAUCAAGUAUAUCUAAUCAAUGGAGCACCCUUGGCCGCUCAUAACCGCGAGCACGGCUGAUAUAUCAGUUUCAUAACACUCUGCAGAGGUUGCGCACUUUACCCACAAGCCAUGAUUCCCUCUUGCCUCGGGCCGAUCAAACCCUUAAACACUACCAAGGUGAAUAGGCAGGGUCUCACUACGUAGCCUUUACAAAGAUUUCCUGGGGCUAUAGCCGCCCGUUAGGUUUCCUAAAUGCACCGCACUCCUCCCCAAGGGGCGAACCAACCUUGGCAGAGCGAGCCGCAUACACCGAGCCCCAUUAACGGCAUGACGACAAAGCGAACUACACCCCAGUUCCUCUAAUUACUCAGCUAAGGGCGUCCCACUCCACCCUCAUGGUUGCACUGUUUUCCCGGGCGUUCAUCCAACGAACAGGUCCUUACGAAGAGGCACUCGAGAAAUAGCUCGAGUCCCCUUAAAUGUCACAAGUAUAUCAUCAUAUCCAGAACAAAAUCAUAGUAUCAUCAUUGUAUCUCAUCAUGUUCAUUGAUUAAAGUAAAGCGCUAGCAUGAAGCUAACCAUAGUAACCCAAAAGGUAACCAAGGACAAGGUAAAUAAAAAGCUAGUCAAUCCUUAGGUUGAUCAUGGUAUGCGGGUUCAUGAAUUAUAAAGUAAAUGGGACAUAAUAGGUCAGAGGACACUUGCCUUCACCAAACAGAUGCUCAGGGUCUUCAACUUUGUAGAACUCGAAGAACUGGGUCAUUUGGUCGCCGAAGCUUGACCGUCGAUUCAUUGAAGCUCAGAAAUGGAUCGCACUCUAUUCGCGGCGCACAGCGAAUACAAACAACCACAAACAAACAACCAUAUAUAUGCAUAAGAACAUUACUCCAUUCAAGUAAAACAUAAUAAAAUACACAAAAUAAAAUAGAGUGUGUUACUACGGUCACACGAGGACAAAGAAACGCGACGGUCGAGGAUACGGUCAAGAGGUUAUCGCGUCCAUACUACACGAGUAUUAAUCAUAAUAUCUAAUUCGACAUUGUCAAAUAUAAAUAUUAUACAUCAGUUAGUUCGAUUAAUGUGUUAUACCAACAAUGUCAGUUAAUUAAGUAAUUUAAAUAAAAUGGGAGAUUCUAAGCGAGACGAAUUUAUGACGCGUCAAACAGCACGACAGCGUGCAAAUGACGCACGGACACGCGCGACAUAGCACGCUGAUGACACACGAAACAGCGCGCGCGACGAGCGCGAACGCGCACGAAUCAGCACGCGACCACGAACACAUCACGCACGAACAACGCGCAGACAUCACGUGCACGACGCGCGAAGCAGCAUGCCACCGUGCGCGGAACAGCACCCGCGACAGACAAGAAUAACUGAACAGGUGACAUGUUUAUACUAAACGAAUGUUAAAUAAAUAGAAAGUAGUUAAAUUAAUAUUAUCCAUGUUAAUAUUUAUUAUAAAAGCCCAAGUUGAACACUACACAUUUAAUCUAAUUAGAAUAUUAAUCUAAUAAAUAUUAAUCGAGUGAGCCUUAAGUUAAUUAUCUAACAUAUAUGACUUGACGAAUUAACCUUAUUAAUAUGAGUGUUUAUAAGCGAAAAACAAUUUAUUAUCACGCGCAGACGCCGCGCGACCCACGUGAUCGACACACGAGAUACACGUGAGCAACGCGUGGCGAGACGAGCGACACACGCGAAAGGCGCGUGACAAUGCGUGUGAACGGCACGCGACAACGCGUGCGAACAGCACGCGUGAAUGACGCACGAAUCAACACGUAACCAUGUGUGAAACCGUGCGCGAUACGCGAGAAAAACUACGUAGACGUCGCAUUUAUAUUAAACAAACAUUAGAGCAAAACAAUUGAUUUAAUACUAAUCAUAUCUACUAAUGCAUGAUUAGAAUUAUAAAUCAGACUCGAUGGAAUUAUUAUUUUAAUAACCAACAACUAAACAAUUAACUAAUUAUUUAACAUGAGCUCUAUGGCGAAAUGAUUUUAUUAAAGCGCGUGAAUAGCGACUCGCGCGAACGACGACACAUGAACAGCACGCGUGACAUACGCGAACAACGCGCGCGAAACACGAUGAAACUAAAUAGUCGUCACAUUUAUAUUAAACAAAUAUUAGGACAACACAUUUGAGUUACUAUUAAUUACGUCGACAUGGAUUUAUAAAGCAUAAGUUAACUACUAUAAAUUAGUUUAAUUGAAAAGUAUAAUUGACUAACGUUAGUUAAACAAAAAUAUAAUUAAUUAUUUAAAAUGCGUGACAUAGUGAAACAAAGUUACCAACGUGUAGACGAUGCUCACCUCGCAACGACAGCGGACGACCAGACUAGUCAACGGCGAGGCAUGAGAACGGCAAGAUUGCUGUUGCGCCGGGGCCACGCAGAGGACUAUAGAGUACAUGGCCACAGAAGGUCUUGCAGACCAAUGAGACACUGCCACAUGGCCACGUUUGGAGGGUAAGCAAUUCCAAACAUGCUACGUGCUGUACUGGUCACAUGAAAGAAAAACAAACGUGGGGCCUACCUUGGUUCCAUCUUCCUCAACACCUCGCAUGAGCGGUUGUUUUUCUCUCUCUCCUCUGUUCACGACGCUUGGAGAGAUGGCCGGCUGGGCAAGAAUACACGCACGCGUGGGGGCUGGGGGCUCCAGUGCUCCACGCGGUCUGCGUUGCAGGGAGCAGAGAGGAGCGAGACGAGGCGUGGUCGCUGGGGUGCUCGCCGGUGCAGGAGACUGCGCCUGGGGAGGGGCCGAUGCUGGGCGAAUCGUCGGCCAGCGCAGUGGCGCGCUCAGGCUUGCAGGGAGAAGAUGAAAAGGCCACAGCGGUAACACAACUCGGCAAGGGAGGCCAGGACACGGCCGGGGGUGCCGCGCUGCGCGCUGAGGAGGAGCGCGGGGAUGGGGCUGCAGGGGCAUGCUCGCCCAGCCAAGGCAGCCACGAGGAUGCAGCGCGGCACGACGAGGAGCAGCGCGGCACGGCUCCCUGCAUGGUGAUGCGCAGCGCUGGCGGCCGGAGCUGGGCGAGAACGGGCGAGGCGUGGUUGUGGGUGGUUCUGGCGGAGCUGGACGCGAGGGACGAGGCAACGAGAGUGCCAAUUCCUGUUUUGGGGCGACAUGGGCAAGGGAACUCGGACGGUUGGAGUCUGGAGAAGAAGACUUGCCCUAGGCAUGGCUCUGGCGCGCGGGCGCUCCCGACGGCUGGACGCGGCUGCGGCUGCUGUAGGAGGCGUGCUGAGGCACUAGGGUUUGGGGAAAUGAGCCGCGUGUGCUAGGUGGGCCGCGGGGAGGUGGCUGGGCGCGGGGGCAAGCCCGCAGCUGGAGCUAGGCCGCGUGCGAGGCAGGCCGCGGGGCUGAGGGAGGUUUUUCCCUUCUAUUAUUGUUCUUCAUUUUCUAUUUCUUCUCUUUUAUAUUUUCCUACUAUCAAAUUUAUUUACAAUGAAUGAGCUACAUAUUAAAUGGAUACACACCAAAGCAAAACAUCACACAAAAACAAAUAUAUUUCGGCAUGAUGCAUCAGUCAUUAUUCCCUUAGGGUUUUAUUAAUAGCUAGAUCUGGAGUAAAAUUUCCUAUAACUUGGAAAUAAAUAAAUAAAUAAAGGAGAGAAAAGAAAGAGGAACAAGAAAGUAACACCUGAAUUUGAUGGAUAUUAGAGAAAAAAAAUUUAUACCCGCAAAUUCAGGGUGUUACAGAUCUAACCCUCUUAAUAGGAAUCUCGCCCCCGAGAUUCAAGAAGAAGCUAGCAAGAAAACAAGGUUGGUUCAUUGGUUGUUCACACCUUUCUUGAGUUGACUUCUCUACAAGAUUAACUUGUGGACUGGUUGCUUUGGCCUUCAGAUGCUUGGGACCGAUUGAUGCAAUUCUUGAGGAUCUCUUGGACCUACGGGUUAGGACCCACACAUGCUUCCAUUGCGCCACUUGAUUCUUGUUGGUUGAUGUUGAUCGCAUUGUCUUCAUUAGGGUUAGCAGCUAACCCCCUUAACAGGAGUGUUGAUAUGCGCUUGGUGAAGAUGCUGGUGACUCUGAUCUUGACUGAUUAAGAGAGGUUGGACAAUGCCAACCGGACAGGUGCAAGAGGAAAGGGUAUAGAUAGAAAAGGCAAGUAUAGAUGGAUUAAAGAGAAAAGAGGGGGAACACCAACUACUUAGCUCUAUGGCACUCAGCUAGUAAACUGAUGUCAUUGCGGACCAAUGACCAUAAUACAUCAACACCCAUCACAAAGAGGCAAAUCAGUCAUAACACAAAGACAAACAGCACAAGCAUACAACAACAAACAUCUCGUUGCUAUACGUAACUUUUAAUUAAAUGGUGGUCUUUCCUUAAAAAGGGAAACUACUUUAAGGCCAUCAAAAGCUAAGGGGAAUAAUAAGACAUGGAGGGUAGGGGCAUGAGCAUAAUAAAGGAUGGAGCUAAAGCGAGGAUUGGAAUCGACAAGGGAGAAAAUGCCACCAAGGGCAGGGUAGGUAAACACCAUUCUCAAAUCGAGAUGGGAAAGAUGAUAAUCCCAAAAGGUAGGCGUAAGAUGAGCAUCAUGGAAAGAUCCAGUGAUUACAAAGGUACAUGAGGUAACAAGGAAAAGCACACCAACAGAUCGAGUUAAAACAAGACUUGCAACACGAUAGAGGAAUAGGGAACGAACAAGAGCGGGGAGGGGUAAGACAACACUCUUGAACUGAAACGGGAGAGGGGGCUUUAAAAUACGGAUACAUGAUAGGCAUCAAGGUAAAAAUCGAGGAAUGACAAGGGUUAAGGUGAUAACAGACAAACACUCAUGAAGGGGUGUAUUUCAGACAAAACUUGCAAGGUGUCAAAGAAGGGGGAGCAAUCAAUGGUGAAGUGGGUGAGGCAUUACCCUCGAACAGGGACAGAAAAGAGGAGGCUUUAAAGGGUAGGUUCAAAAGUAAGCAUGUGGGCAAGGGCAUAGGUUUCACGAGGGUUUAAAGGUGAUAACGAACAAGGAUGUAGGAGAGGAGGUAAAUGUGCAUAAGAACCAAGAAUAUGAAUACCACAAAGGAUGGAGUUAAGACUAGACCUGCAAUUGAAAAAUAAGGAGGUACGUCCAAGGGCCAGAUAGGUAAACGACCACUCUCCAAUUGAGGUAGAAGAGAGGAGAUUUUGAAGAGCCAGAAUAAAGAUGAGUAUCAAGGCAAGAUCGAUGGAUGACAAGGGGGUGGUGAUAGCAAAUAAAAACACAACAAGUGAUGUAAUUGGGACAAAACAUGUAAGGCAACAAUGAGUGAAAAGAAAUCAAGGGAGAGGUAGGUAACUCGCAACUCUCAAAUUGGGUUGAAAGAAAGGGGAGGAUUUAAAGGAUAAGUUUAAGGUAAGCAUUUAGGUAGAAGACAUAAAUAUCGCAAGGGCCAAAGGCGAUAACGGACAAAGGUGUCAGAGAAAAGAUAAAGGCAUAGAAGAGCAAGUGGUACAAAUACAAUAACGAAUGGAGUUAAGUCUAGGCCUACACGCGGUAAAGAAGAGGAUAUAGUCAAGGGUAAGAUAAGUAAAACAUAUCUCUCGAAUUGAGAUAGAAAAGAGGGGAUUUCAACAAGCAGACCUAAGAUAAGUAUCAAGGCAAGAUCUACAGAUUACAAAGGUAAGGAUGAUAUCAAACAAAAGCUCAACAAAGGAUGAAGUUAAGGUAAGACAAGACUUGCAAAGCGACAAAGGGAAAGGAAACGAACAAGAGCAGGAUAGGGAAAAUAACACUCUCAGAUUGAAACAGAAUAGGUGAGGCUAAGAAAUAGGUAAACAUCACGAUAAAUGUGGAGAGAGGUCAAGGGUCAAAGGUGAUAAUAGGCAAGGAAAUAAAGGAAGAGGUAAAUGUGAAUAAAAAACCAGGAAUCUAGGUACCACCAAGAAUAGAUUUAAGAUAAGUCUUGCAAGUGGUAAAGUAUAGGAUAUAACCACGGGUGAGAUAAGUAAGAGACCACGCUUGAACUAAGGUGGGAGAUUGGAGGUUUUAGAUAACGAACAUAGCGUAAUCACCAAGGUAAGAUUGAGAGAUGAGAAGGGUAAAGGCAAUAAGAAACAAAAGCACAACAAAGGAUGAGGUUACAAACUCGCGAGCCAAGUAAGAGGAUACGACCAAGAGAAAGAAGAUAUGAGACGGAAGAGGGGUGAUUUUAAAGGGCGAGUAUGAGACAAACAUCAAUGUAGGAUAUAGAGGUGUCAAGGGUGCAUAUGAUAAUAAUUAAAAGUAUAACAAAGGAUAUAGUUAAGGCAAGACUCGCGAAACGACAAAGUGGAGAAAACAAUCAAGGGUAAGAUAGGUAAGGUUCCAACAGAAGGGUCGAAGUAAAGAUUCAUUACCGAGUGGAGUUACAAGGAGACAACAAGAUCAACAAGGAGAUGCAAAGUAGAAUGACCGCUCAUGGAUCAUUAAGAAACAAGGGUGGUCAAGGAUAUGUUAAAUGUCUUGAACAGUCAUUGGGAUAUAAAGGUAGCAUAUAUAAAAAUAAGAGUAUGCAAGAUUCCAAUGAUACAAGCGUACUCAGACAUGGGAAUAGAAAAAGGUAGAGGAUAAUGACUUAACAGCGGAACAUGGAGGGAUCUCGGAAGGCCAGAAGUUCAUGGACAUAUAAACUAGAGUGUUUAAGUAGGCAGGAGAAAUUCAGAUGUAAGGGUUUGAAACAAAAGUACUAAAGAAACUAGGAGUACAAGCAUGUCAAUACUAAGAGGACAAAGAUAGUCAAAGGGUAGCAAUUUAGUGAUGGAAGAGGAGAAAAUCCCAACAGACAAAAAGUUAUGGUCAGGGGGCAUCUUCAAAGAUGUCGCGAGCAUAAGAGUGAGAACAGAACUAAUAUGACCAGCAAAUAAACCAUAAAUAAAUGAAGGAUUAGAAUAUAACACAAUUUUCAGCAAGGUAUAAUAUAUAGUAAAACAUAGGUUUGGUCGAUAUGACCAACUUUUGAAGGGAUAUCAAAGUCAAGGUGAGAAUAAGGGUAUAUAAUCCUUAGAACGACCAUUCUACUCUAGGUUAGCGGUCCUACAGUCAGCACGGCUUUGAUACCACUUAUGUCACACCCGGUUUUAGAAGGCAAACCGAAUGCGAACUAUGUACGUGUCAGGAUCAACAAUUCACGUACACAACAGUUACAUAACUGGACAUCAUCACACAGUGCUCAAAUAAUAACAUAAAAGAGGAAUAAUAGUCGAUUACAUCAUAUGUCUGAGACAUCCACAUAGUCUUUACAAUAAUCAAAGUGCGAAAACGAAACGUAGAUACACACGGCCUUCACAGGCAGCCGACUGGGGGUUACCGCUAACCCACGCCUAGAACUCGUCGUAAUCUUGGAACUCCUGGAAGUCUCCUUCCACGGCUUCAUCUUCUCCUGAGCAGUGGUUGCAAUGCUGACAACCUGGGGAUGGGGGGCGGUUUGGUGUGUAGAGCAAGGGUGAGUACACAUCAACAUACUCAGCAAGUAUCCUGUUUGGCUAUAGUGGACUAGCUUUAUGUGGGGGUAAGUCAAGCAGUUGCUUUUAGUUGGUCAGAUUAUUAUUACUAGUAGAGAAAGCCAAGUUUUAGAUUUAACCCACGUUAUUAACCCAAACGUACUCCUUUCCAAACGGAAAGAGUACCACUUACCAUUACCAGAGUCAAUACCAAGAACCAUCAACCUCAUUGCCACCUGAAAUCCGAACAUAUCUGAUCAAGUAUCUCUAAUCAAUGGAGCUCCCUUGGCCGCUCAUAACCGCGAGCACGGCUGAUAUAUCAGUUUCAUAACACUUUGCAGAGGUUGCGCACUUUACCCACAAGCCGUGAUUCCCUCUUGCCUCGGGCCGAUCAAACCCUUAAACACUACCAAGGUGAAUAGGCAGGGUCUCACUACAUAGCCUUUACAAAGAUUUCCAGGGGCUAUAGCCGCCCGUUAGGUUUCCUAAAUGCACCGCACUCCUCCCCAAGGGGCGAACCAACCUUAGCAGAGCGAGCCGCAUACACCGAGCCCCAUUAACGGCACAACGGCAAAGCGAACUACACCCCAGUUCCUCUAAUUACUCAGCUAAAGGCGUCCCACUCCACCCUCAUGGUUGCACUGUUUUCCCGGGCGGUCAUCCAACGAACAGGUCCUUACGGAGAGGCACUCGAGAAACAGCUCGAGUCCCCUUAAAUGUCACAAGUAUAUCAUCAUAUCCAGAAUAAAAUCAUAGUACCAUCAUUGUAUCUCAUCAUGUUCAUUGAUUAAAGUAAAGCGCUAGCAUGAAGCUAACCAUAGUAACCCAAAAGGUAACCAAGGACAAGGUAAAUAAAAAGCUAGUCAAUCCUUAGGUUGAUCAUGGUAUGCG